rnacentral:tRNA from 1 species
GCUUAUGUGGCUCAAAGGAGUAGGGCGCCGGCCUCAUAUGCUGGAGGUGGCAGGUUCAAAAGCCCUGGCCAAAAACA